UAUAUAUAUAUAUAUAUAUAUAUAUAUAUAUAUAUAUAUAUAUAUAUAUAUAUAUAUACAUACAUACAUACAUACAUACAUACAUACAUACAUAUAUAAGUACAUAUGUUGUAUGUAUCGAGGAUCGACAUUGCACUUUACGACGGUGGAAUUUCAAUGAAAAAUAAAUCGAAAUAAUGCGUACCUAAAACUUGUUUAAACAUUUACAGACUCGCCUAUUACAGACUACUUAUUGCUAUAAACGAUUAUUAAUAAUUAUAUACGUAUAUAUAUAUAUAUAUAUAUAUAUAUAUAUAUAUAUAUAUAUUAUGAUAUAGACACUAUACAUUGUUUCGGCAUGAUGUAAGAAUACUGUUGGUAAUGAAAUAAAAAAAAAGAUAUACUUGUCAUAUUGUUCAUCAUCCUCCUUCCAACAUUCUUCCAAAUAUUAAUCCAAUAUCUUGUCUUUAUUUGUUAUAUAAGAAUUAUUCGAUAUUAAAAAUUAAAAGUUUCGGAUAAAAGUCUAUACGACUCGCAUAAUCGGAUAUUCGGUGACGCUACAAAAUCCUUUUACUAAGAGGUGUGAGAAAAAUGCCUCUUGCGUGAAAAAACCAAAGCUCUCGCAUGGUUCUCAAGCUUACACCUCCUAUUUCUUUCUUUUUUAUUUUAUUUUAUUUUUUUUUAUUGUUCAAAAGUUUUCUCGGACGUUCCUAGACUACUCGCUAUUGUGCUAUACUGACGGUAGAGUUACCCACAUGAAAUAAAUUAGUUAAAUGAAUUUUAGUUUGAAACUAGUUUUACGUGAAUACACGCAUUCUCGUAUAUAUCGUCGAAUUUCUAUCUCUCUCUUUCUCUCUCUCUCUCUCUUUCUAUCUAUCUAUCUCUAUCUCUCUUUUUCUUUCUCUUUCUCUCUCUCUCUCACUCUCUCUUUAACAUUCUUCCAAAUUAAUCAUCCGACUAACUAGAAAACGGAUUGCUUUACGUUGGUAAUAUUUCCUGUUGUAAUUCGUAUCCAUUCGAAGAAGUUUACAUACGUGUUCGUUAAAUGAUUGUUGAUGACUAAAUUAUUGGUUAUAUUAAACGAAUAAUAUAGUUUAUAUAUAAAAUGUUAUAAGAGAUAAAAAUAAUUUCUUGAACUUAUUGUGUUUAAAGCUAUAAGAUUGAAAUAAAAUUUUUCA